rnacentral:lncRNA from 1 species
GACCGCUUUAAGAUUCAUGUGGCUCGUCCAAUUGGAUCAGAUUAUUAUAAUUCAGAUUUUCGUUCCGAUUCUGUUACGAACCGAAUACUUCAGGGGAUAUGAUUAUUUCAAUUUCAGUUCCAAUUUGUUCCUUUUCUGAUCCAAUUCUAAUUACAACUGAAACACCCUCUUAAAGCACUUCAGGUUAUCUUAUAGCCACGAGAGAAUGUUAAAAAUAAGUCAGUAUGAGCAUUAGCGGUUCUAGAUGGCCACCAUGGCCAUGAAUGGACAUUGUGUUGCUAAACGAAUCUUGCGGCAGUUGGGCAGGCCUUGACGCCUUUAACCAUGAGAAGCUUCUGGAAUCUAUGGGAGUGCUGGUCUACUAUAACAGUGCGCGUAGAGCUCCACUCACAGCCGUCCUACCGUAUCUUAUUCCACAAUCCUAUCCAUGCCUACUUUAAUAAACUUCCAACCGCAGCAAGUUCCGGCUUUCAACCGAACAAAUCCAUCUAACACAACACUUUAUACUGUCGGGAAUUUUAUACGUGGAUCAAGCAAUGGCAUGGUGACUUGUCCAUGCUUCUGCUCAAAGAUUUGCUGAGGGACUUGAUACAAUGACCCAGUAAGAGACUCCUCUCAUAGAGGACCCAUAAG